GCCGGCAGCUAGUUCUCUGCAACUCUCACCACUGAAGCUAAGCAGGGCUGCACCCAGUCAGUACCUGAAUGGGAGACCACAUGGGAAAGCUAUGUUGCUGCCUGAA
rnacentral:rRNA from 1 species